rnacentral:rRNA from 1 species
UAAGGGAUAUUGCGACAAUGGACGAAAGUCUGACGCAGCAACGCCGCGUGCGGGAUGACGGCCUUCGGGUUGUAAACCGCUUUUCGGGGGGAAGAGGAAGGACGGUACCCCCGGAAUAAGUCUCGGCUAACUACGUGCCAGCAGCCGCGGUAAAACGUAGGAGGCGAGCGUUAUCCGGAUUUACUGGGUGUAAAGCGCGUGCAGGCGGUUUAGCAAGUCGUGCGUGAAAGCGCCCGGCUCAACCGGGCGAGGUCGUGCGAAACUGCUUAACUUGAGGUAGGUAGAGGCGUGUGGAAUUCCGGGUGUAGUGGUGAAAUGCGUAGAGAUCCGGAGGAACACCAGUGGCGAAGGCGACACGCUGGGCCUGACCUGACGCUCAGACGCGAAAGCAUGGGUAGCGAACGG